rnacentral:rRNA from 1 species
CCUACGGGGGGCAGCAGUGGGGAAUAUUGCGCAAUGGGCGAAAGCCUGACGCAGCAACGCCGCGUGAGGGAUGAAGGCUUUCGGGUCGUAAACCUCUGUCAGAAGGGAAGAACGGGUGAGGGUCUAACAGGCCUUUAUUUUGACGGUACCUUCAGAGGAAGCACCGGCUAACUCCGUGCCAGCAGCCGCGGUAAUACGGAGGGUGCAAGCGUUAUUCGGAAUUACUGGGCGUAAAGCGCACGUAGGCGGCCUUGUAAGUCAGGGGUGAAAUCCCACGGCUCAACCGUGGAACUGCCCUUGAAACUGCGGGGCUUGAAUCCUGGAGAGGGUGGCGGAAUUCCUGGUGUAGGAGUGAAAUCCGUAGAUAUCAGGAGGAACACCGGUGGCGAAGGCGGCCACCUGGACAGGCAUUGACGCUGAGGUGCGAAAGUGUGGGGAGCAAACAGGAUUAGAUACCCCAGUAGUC